UCCGGUUUGACACCGGCAGUCUCGUUAGAGUCCUGGCUUGCGCCUUAGCAACUAACGAUAGGGGUUUCGCUCGUUAAGGGACUUAACCCGACACUUCACAGCACGAGCUGACGACAGCCAUGCAGCACCUGUGCACGUUCCACUCGUGAGAGUGUCAUCCCUGUUUCCAGGAACUAAUCCGUGCAUGUCAAGCCCAGGAUAAGGUUCUUCGCGUUGCUUCGAAUUGAGCCACAUGCUCCACCGCUUGUGUGAGCCCCCGUCAAUUCCUUUGAGUUUUAGCCUUGCGACCGUACUCCCCAGGCGGUGCACUUAUCACUUUUGCUUCGACCCCGAUGGCGUCAGAGCCUCCGGGAUCUAGUGCACAUCGUUUAGGGCGUGGACUAC
rnacentral:misc_RNA from 1 species